rnacentral:ncRNA from 1 species
GGAGUAUGUGGUUUAAUUCGAAGCAACGCGAAGAACCUUACCAGGUCUUGACAUCCCUCUGACCGGUACAGAGAUGUACCUUUCCUUCGGGACAGAGGAGACAGGUGGUGCAUGGUUGUCGUCAGCUCGUGUCGUGAGAUGUUGGGUUAAGUCCCGCAACGAGCGCAACCCUUGACUUUAGUUGCCAGCAAGUAAAGUUGGGCACUCUAGAGUGACUGCCGGUGACAAACCGGAGGAAGGUGGGGAUGACGUCAAAUCAUCAUGCCCCUUAUGACCUGGGCUACACACGUACUACAAUGGCCGGUACAACGGGAAGCGAAGUCGUGAGAUGGAGCGAAUCCUAGAAAAGCCGGUCUCAGUUNNNN